AGAGAUCGGGCGUUCCCCUUCGGGGGGACAGGGUGACAGGUGGUGCAUGGUUGUCGUCAGCUCGUGUCGUGAGAUGUUGGGUUAAGUCCCGCAACGAGCGCAACCCUCGACCUUAGUUGCCAGCAUUCAGUUGGGCACUCUAAGGUGACUGCCGGCUAAAAGUCGGAGGAAGGUGGGGAUGACGUCAAAUCAUCAUGCCCCUUAUGACCUGGGCUACACACGUGCUACAAUGGGCGGUACAAAGGGUCGCGAACCCGCGAGGGGGAGCCAAUCCCAAAAAGCCGCUCUCAGUUCGGAUUGCAGGCUGCAACUCGCCUGCAUGAAGCCGGAAUCGCUAGUAAUCGCGGAUCAGCAUGCCGCGGUGAAUACGUUCCCGGGCCUU
rnacentral:rRNA from 1 species